CAGGUAUGAAGACCGGUACGAUGAAGGCGACGUUAGCAAGGUUACCCUUCCGGCUUGGCCUGGGCAGGGUUAUGGACGACACUGGUUAUCUUCAGGACUCUUAGUCCAAAUUUGUAUCUUGUCCGUACUCGGACAUAUUUGAUCUUUUGUAUGAUUUGGAUCUUUGUAUUGUAUAUUUGUAUCUUGACUCGUUGGAGUCGUUGUUGUAAUAUAUAUGUUUCUUGUGGGCUCUAUUGUAAUCCUGUUGUAAUGUUAUCGCUCGUGAUUGAUUCCACCUGCAUCGCGUGCAUGCUUAGGCGUGUACGAGGCGCUUGGUGGUGCGUCUCCUAGAAUCGAUAUCGUGCGGAUUUCGGCGGAUUCGCUGGGAUCCUCAUGGUACCGGUUUUGGGGCGUCACACCAGGGGGGCCCCACCCCACAAGGCGGUGCGGCCAGGGGGGUGGGCGCGCCACCCUAUGGUGUGGCCCCACCAGGGGCCCUCUGACGCCGCCCUUCCGCCUACUUAAGGCCUCCGUCGUGAAAACCCUACAACGAUCGACGAAACCCGCAGAAACCUUCCAGAGCCGCCGCCAUCGCGAAGCCAAGAUCUGGGGGACAGGAGUCUCUGUUCCGGCACGCUGCCGGGACGGGGAAGUGCCCCCGGAAGGCUUCUCCAUCGACACCAUCGCCAUCUCCAUCAACGCUGCUGUCUCCCAUGAGGAGGGAGUAGUUCUCCAUCGAGGCUAAGGGUUGUACCGGUAGCUAUGUGGUUAAUCUCUCUCCUAUGUACUUCAAUACAAUAAUCUCAUGAGCUGCCUUACAUGAUUGAGAUUCA